rnacentral:pre_miRNA from 1 species
UGCGCGCAGGGGUUGCAAGACCAGGCCACUUAUUUUUUAUUAUUGAACAAAAUAAGUUCCUGGAAUUGUAGCUUCUGCGUUGCUA